rnacentral:lncRNA from 1 species
AACUCAAUCCCAGAAUUCCAUCGAUGUCAGUGUCUAUAUGAUCCAUCUGUCGCCUAAAUGCUGGCUGACUUUGCCCAAGGGGAUAUUAACAUAUGUCACUCUCUAUUCAGAAGAAAACAGACAGAAAAUAGCAGACCUGUAGGAGAUGAAGAGAUGGAGUUGGGAGACUGGGGAGACUGCCUAGAGUAUCUGAGAGCAUGCACAGAGAGAAAACUGAAAAGACUGCAGCAUCUCCUCUGCAAAACUCAUAAUGUGGAGAGAAAUCAUGGAGUGAAAUCUCUCCAGAAUUGACACUGAUUUUAGCAUCAGCAGAGAAGUACAUUAAAACAGUAUUCCAAGUAUUCGUAAGUAGAAA